CAUCAGUUAGAAGGACCCGCAGCAUCUUGGUGGGAGAAUUUCACAGCCACCUUCCCAGUCGACACUGUCACAUGGGACCAAUUUCAGCAGGCUUUUCAUACUGCCCAUGUUUCAGCAGGAGCAAUGGCCAUGAAGAAGCGUGAGUUUCGUAACUUGCGCCAAGGAGGACGGACAGUUGGCCAGUAUGUGGAGGAGUUUAGUAAGUUAGCAUGUUAUGCCCCAGAUGACGUUGCUACGGAUGCUGCUAAACAGGAGAAAUUCCUGGAAGGACUGAAUGAUGAGUUGAGUAUGCAGUUGAUGGUAGCCACCUUCAACAACUACCAGGAGUUGGUAGACUGUGCUCUUAUGAUUGAAGGGAAGCAGCAGCAAAUUGAGAACCGCAAGAGGAAGUAUGGACAAGGGAAGUAUAAUUCAGGAGCUCAGCAGAAGCCUCGUUUUACC
rnacentral:rRNA from 1 species